rnacentral:rRNA from 1 species
AUCAGCAAUGACCUCGCGCGGUUGGAUGGACCGAUGUUCGAUUAGCUUGUUGGUGGGGUAAUGGCCUACCAAGGCGACGAUCGAUAGCUGGUCUGAGAGGAUGAUCAGCCACACUGGGACUGAGACACGGCCCAGACUCCUACGGGAGGCAGCAGUGGGGAAUAUUGGACAAUGGGCGCAAGCCUGAUCCAGCAAUGCCGCGUGUGUGAAGAAGGCCUUCGGGUUGUAAAGCACUUUUAUCAGGAGCGAAAUACCACGGGUUAAUACCCUAUGGGGCUGACGGUACCUGAGGAAUAAGCACCGGCUAACUUCGUGCCAGCAGCCGCGGUAAUACGAAGGGUGCAAGCGUUAAUCGGAAUUACUGGGCGUAAAGCGUGCGUAGGUGGUUUUUUAAGUCUGCUGUGAAAUCCCCGGGCUCAACCUGGGAAUGGCAGUGGAUACUGGAAAGCUAGAGUGUGAGAGAGGAUGGUGGAAUUCCCGGUGUAGCGGUGAAAUGCGUAGAGAUCGGGAGGAACAUCAGUGGCGAAGGCGGCCAU